AAAUGUUGCUGAAUAGCAACGCAGAAACACCAACACACACACACAAUUGAAACUCUGGCGUUUCGAAGCCCAAAAAACGCAAAACUGGGGGGAAAAAACACCUCUGAAAACCCACCGCGUCUCCUUUCUUAUUCUUCACCCUCUGCACAUUUAGCAGCAAACAGGCUGCAAGCGAAGAUUGAGAAAAGCCAAGUCAAGUCAAGUCAAGUGCCAGCCAUUCUGAGUCAACAUCGGAUCCAGGGGUAAACCACCCAAAAUAGGAUUAGUUACUAGAAUUUCCUAGAAAGAAGCUACGUUUUUUCCCAGCUGGAUCGCAUUUGUUUUCCAUGCAAGUAACAUGUUGGUUCAUAUGUUCGCAUUGUUCAUCAUAUAGCAUAUAUAUCUAUAUCAGAAAUGGUGUAUUACUUAAAGAUCUUAUGAUCAAAGUUCUUGCCACCUUUGUACAUAAUAUUUAAAAACGAUGAAUUUCAUCUGACAGUUGAAACAUAGCAUUUUCCAUUUCCACGCUUCUUUUCCUUUACUUUUCCGCUUCGCUCGCCACAGAAAAUGUGUUUUGCCAUUAAAAGCAGCGAAAAAUGUAUUUAAAAAAAAAAAAAAAAAAAAAAA